UGGGGAAUAUUGGACAAUGGGGGCAACCCUGAUCCAGCAAUGCCGCGUGUGUGAAGAAGGCCUGAGGGUUGUAAAGCACUUUCAGUGGGGAGGAGGAUUGCUAGGUUAAGAGCUAGGUAAUUGGACGUUACCCACAGAAGAAGCACCGGCUAACUCCGUGCCAGCAGCCGCGGUAAUACGGAGGGUGCGAGCGUUAAUCGGAAUUACUGGGCGUAAAGGGUGCGUAGGUGGUAUGGUAAGUUAUCUGUGAAAUCCCUGGGCUCAACCUGGGCAGGUCAGAUAAUACUGCUGUACUCGAGUAUGGGAGAGGGUAGUGGAAUUUCCGGUGUAGCGGUGAAAUGCGUAGAGAUCGGAAGGAACACCAGUGGCGAAGGCGGCUACCUGGCCCAAUACUGACACU
rnacentral:rRNA from 1 species